GCAACAGUUAUGCCAUAAAAUGAAAUAUUUAUGACUCUAGCACACUAACAUAGUGCAGAGAAACACAGGGGCUGGUACAACAGGAGAGGCCUUGGGAAGUGAAGACAUAGGAUGUAGCACAGAGGAGUACUGGCACAGGAAAAUGAGAGAGGGGAUCCAGGCUUGGCACUGGAGACUCCACAGCUCCAAACAGCUCACUUGUCCUCAGUUAAGAACAUGCAGUUCUUGAGCUGGACAAAACUGGUUUUAGAGGUAGCAAAGGAAUAAUAUAUAAUAUACAUAAAAUAUACAGUAGAUUUAGAUGCAACCUGGAACAGGAGACCAAUGAAAAGAAAGAAAGAUAAAGGAAGAAAACGCCAACAUAUUCAGCAUCAUAUUCCUCCUGGCAAAGGACUCCAGAUGCUGACAAGUCUGUCCCCCCAUACACAUAUGCCACCACUCAAAUGAAAUCACUGACUAGGAUCCAAAUUAACUGCAGCAGGGCAAGCAUAAUGUCAGAAAAAGGGUAGAAACUAAAUGUAUGUACAUAGAGCAAUUGUAAAUGCGUUAUUAUUCUUUCUUGUUCUGUACCAAUCAAAUCUCAACUUCUGAUGAUCCAACUCUCAAGACUUCAAUUAUAUUAACAAUAAACUCUUGGAUUUGCUUAUACAUAGGGUGUGCUUUCUGCUUCCCCCCCCCC